ACACACAAUCAGCCAAAUGAGGAACCAGAGACAACCAACGACCAAGAUGUGGUCACUGCCAAAAGAUUGGUCAUGGGAAAAGCCAAUGUUUUGAGGUCAUAGGCUAUCCGGCAAACUGGAACACUAGAAGGUUAGGUGUUAAAAGGGUAUGGCAGGGGUCGAUCAAAUUUAGGGGAGGUACUGCCCGCGCUUCACAUUUUGCUUCUAUCAACAUGCAAUUGGUUCCAGAAUCCACCGAGAACCAAACUAAGGUACAGAUAGCAGGUUUCACUAUGGAGCAGAUCAAUCAGCUCUUUAACAUGUUUAAGGAGAAGCAACAAAAGGAUCCGAUUUCAACACAGAGUGGACCUUACUCUGAAGAAGCAAAUUGGAAAUGGUAAUCUCGCCAAUGGUGUCUACUACUGCAUCAAGCUGUAAUUUGGUAACUACUCAAAGGAAUGAAGAGAGUCUUUGGCACGCACGGAUGGGUCAUCCUUCACAUAAUAGCAUCCUGAAGAUAUCCACUUUAAUUGGUGUUAGUUUUAAUAAAUAUUUUACUUUGCCUUGUGAUUAUGCUAUAGAGCAAAACAAACAAGAGCUCUUUUUGAUAUUAAUAAGAAUGAAGAAUCUCAACCUUUUGCAUUAA